rnacentral:lncRNA from 10 species
UAGCAAUCAGCGAGACUCCGUGGGUGUAGGACCCUCCGAGCCAGGUGCGGGAUAUAAUCUUGUGGUGUGCCAUUUUUUAAGCCCAUCGGAAAAGCGCCGUAUUCGGGUGGGAGUGACCCGAUUUUCCAGGUGCCAUCUGUCACCCUUUUCUUUGACUCAGAAAGGGAACUUGCUGACCCCUUGCGCUUCCCAAGUGAGGCAAUGCCUCGCCCUGCUUCGGCUCACGCACAGUGCGCCCACCCACUGACCUGCGCCCACUGUCUGGCACUCGCUAGUGAGAUGAACCCGGUACCUCAGAUGGAAAUGCAGAAAUCACCCGUCUUCUGCGUCGCUCAGGCUGGGAGCUGUAGACCAGAGCUGUUCCUAUUCGGCCAUCUUCUGGUGCUACAUUUUAAAAGAGAAAGAAAAACUACAUAUACAGUAAGCCUCAGGUACUGAGGAGUCCUUGUGGAAUUCCCCUUUGGAGUUGAGAGUUUCACAAGUUGUACAAUCACAAGGAGGGCACCUGUCUCUUUCUUCGUUUGGGCAUAUUCAACCAACACCUUCUGUCUUCAGCUUGAUGAGUAAGGAAGGACUGAAAGAAAUUCUAUGGCAGUACUGGCUGUGCCUGAGAAACCUCCUGCCACUCAAGCCCAGCAAGUCUUAUGAAGCAAGCUGCCUACAGAAAUGUCCAUGUGUCAGGAAACUGAAGCUGGCUCAUGGUCAGCAGCCAGCAAGCUACAAAGGGCUUCCAACAGCCCAUGAAGCACUGAGUCCUGCCAAAAGCCACGUGCAUGAGCUUAGAAGAGCUUCAUCCUCCAGGCUAGGAAAGAGACAGUCGGUGUGCAGCAAGAGAAAAGAGAGGAGGAAACAUGUGGAAAGACCCAAAGAAUGAAGACACAAGAGCAUGCCUGAAUGCAAUGGGAAGUAGAUCAGUUGACCUUUGCUGAAUAACAAGGUGGACCUAAAACUGGGUGACUUGAAACAGCACCAGACGACAUGAACCAUACUCCAAAAAUGAAAUACUGAUAAGAGGGGAUGGAGAGCUAUUGGAGCCCUAUCAUUUGCACACCUGGACCACGUGAUGGAGAACCAGGGAUGACAAUUGAGAGGAGAGACAGAGAACCCUCCAUCUGUGUCAAAAUGCCCAGUGUUACCACCAACAAGAGUCAGCCACAUCAAAACAGGCACAGGCAAAACGUGGCCCUCUGCGAGCAAGGAAUGGGGUUUCAUGAAGAACCACUUCUGCUGACACCUUGAUCUUGAACUUCCAGCCUCCAGAGCUGUGAGAAAUAAAUAUCUAUUGUUUAAACCAUCCAUUGCAAGGUAUUUGAUGAUAGCAGCCCUAGCUGACUAGUACAUGGUCCUCAGAAUAAUUAGUAAAGCAAAACUGUUUGGCUGGGACUUCCUCCACUGUGUGUAUUUCCAG